UGUGCGUUUUUGAUUUUUUUGUUAUACUGAGCGGUUUUAAGGAACAAUAAAACAUACAUAAAACAUAACAUUUAAAUAUAAUAAAUAUUACGAUAUUUGAAGAAUCCUAUUGUUGUGGUUUGGGAACAGUAUAUCUAACAUAUAUAUGUUCCUGUUGUGGUGGAUUCUAUUUUAUGACCUAAUUGAUCCUAAUUUUAAACUAACAAUUGUUUUAAUAGAAAGAGUUAGUUCCCUUUGAAUACAAAAGUUUGAGCUGAAUAAUGAAAUCCAACGUAAUUUGGAGGGUUUAAAAAGCACCCAAUUAUAUGCAACCGGUUACCCCGUUCUUAUAAAAAAUAAUAAUUAUACGAAAAUUAUCAUACUAUGUUUUUAUAAGAAUCUAAAUAAUUAUGAACGUAUUUAUAAAAAUUUAAGUUAAACAUGUUAAAACAAAAACCUUCUAAAUAUCCCGCUGCUGUACCGUAAUUAUAUUUUAUUUCAUUACAACACCCGAUAUCCCAAAGUGAAUGUUGUUUAUUCUCUUCUUUUGAUUUAUUUUGAUUUUUUGUAAUUGCUAAUUACUUCACUCUUAAUCUUCACAUAUAUAAUUAUAUUCAAAAUAUCCAUCUUAUCACUUUUCAACUGACAUAACUUGUAAACUAAUUAGUGUAAAUCAUUCGUUUAUAUGAGUUUGUAACGUUUAAAUAAGGUUACAAUUAAAGCAAAAUUCUGUUUAUCUAUGUCUGCACUUUAAACAUACCUUCAUUAAACUUAAAAAAUUUCUUCAUUUUUUUUAAAGAUACGAAAAUUGUUCUUAUUCUAACAAGAGUUGUUUCCCUUUUAUUGUUCAAUCACAUAAUAUUAUGUGUCCCUAGUCACGUACAUGCAUGUGUAUAUGUUUAAAAUAUUAUAUUUGAUUAUGCUUGCUUGGACACCAAUGAGCAAAAAUACACAAUGAAGAGUUUCACAAAGACAAGGAUUUUUAAUGUAAAAUCAGCUGUUGUCUACAUGCAUUGUAUAAUUGCUUACAUAAGGAUAGCAGAUUCACUUUUAUUACUACUACAUGGCUUUUUCAUAUAUUGUAUAAUCACGCACAAAAGAAACAUUAAAAAUAUUGAAAUUUAAUUUAUCCGAAGUUUCUUACUAUUUCGAAGAAUUUCCAUUUUGUCUUAAACAAUUUAAUACUGUGUGUGUGCAAAUACAAUAAACUUCUUGUUUACGCAGGAGCACAUCAUAUAUUAAACAAAAACAACGUCCGUGAUGUUAGGUUUCAAAUCAAAAAGGUUAUAAUUUUGUUUUGCCAAUGAUAUGUUAUUUAUAAUUUUGCCUAUUACUACAGUAUUGUUGUUUCAAGAAGCACUUUAAAUUAACUAUUUGUAUCAAAACAUCCUCCUACGACCCGCUUGUUGUUGUUGAAGACGGUAUGCUGACAUGAGGGUGUAUUUUUUGUAUAAUUGUUCGCAUCCAUUUGAUUUCG
rnacentral:lncRNA from 1 species